AUGAACGCUGGCGGCAUGCCUAACACAUGCAAGUCGAACGAGCCUCGCAAGAGGCUAGUGGCGAACGGGUGAGUAACGCGUAGGAAUCUGCCCCGAACUGGGAAAUACCCAGCCGAAAGGUUGGCUAAUGUCCCAUAGUCCCGCAAGGGUAAAGGCGCAAGCCGGUUUGGGAGGAGCCUGCGUCCUAUCAGCUUGUUGGUGGGGUAAUGGCCUACCAAGGCUUUGACGGGUAGCUGGUCUGAGAGGAUGGUCAGCCACAAUGGAACUGAGACACGGUCCAUACACCUACGGGUGGCAGCAGUUGGGAAUUGUUCACAAUGGGCGAAAGCCUGAUGACGCAAUGCCGCGUGGAGGAAGAAGGCCUUCGGGUCGUAAACUUCUUUUAUUAGGGACGAUUAUGACGGUACCUAAUGAAUAAGGGCCUGCUAACUACGUGCCAGCAGCCGCGGUAAUACGUAGGGCCCGAGCGUUAUCCGGUAUUAUUGGGCGUAAAGCGUUCGUAGGCGGUUUGGUAAGACAAUGGUUAAAUCUCCGAGCUUAACUCGGAAAUCGCCGUUGUGACUGCCAGACUAGUCGGUAGCAGGGGCAAGCGGAAUUCUCGGUGUAGGAGUGAAAUCCGUUGAGAUCGAGAAGAACACCAAUGGCGAAGGCAGCUUGCUAGGCUACUUGAGACGCUGAGGAACGAAAGCGUGGGGAGCGAACGGGAUUAGAUACCCCGGUAGUCCACGCCGUAAACGAUGCACACUAGCUAUCAGAAGUAUCGACCCUUCUUGUAGCGUAGCUAACGCGUUAAGUGUGCCGCCUGGGAAGUACGGUCGCAAGACUAAAACUCAAAGGAAUUGACGGGGGAUCGCACAAGCGGUGGAGCAUGUGGUUUAAUUCGACGAUAACCGGAGAACCUUACCAGGGUCUGACAUCUACGGAAAGCCCUAGAAAUAGGGCCGUGCCCGCAAGGGAACCGUAAGACAGGUGUUGCACGGCUGUCGUCAGCUCGUGGCGUGAGCUGUACCCUUAAGUGGGUAAACGAGCGAAACCCUCAUCGUCUGUUGGAUUUUUCAGACGAGACUGCCAGCUUUUCGCUGGAGGAAGGCGGGGAUGACGCCAAGUCAGCGUGGCCCUUACACCCUGGGCUACACACGUGCUACAAUGGCAUCGACAAAGGGUUGCAAAGUCGCAAGAUGGAGCUAAUCCCACCAAAAGAUGCCUCAGUUCGGAUUAGAGGCUGCAACUCGCCUCUAUGAAGCCGGAAUCGCUAGUAACCGUGGGUCAGCUAUACCACGGUGAAUACGUUCUCGAUCCUUGUACACACCGCCCGUCAAGUGAGCCGAGUUGGCAAUGCCCGAAUUGCGUUUUUUUAUUCGCAACACGGUAGGGUCAGCAAGGAGCACU
rnacentral:rRNA from 1 species